rnacentral:rRNA from 1 species
AGAGUUUGAUCAUGGCUCAUGAUGAACGCUGGCGGCGUGGAUAAGGCAUGCAAGUCGAGUGGGUUUAGACCCACGGCGAAUUGGUUAGUAAUACAUAGGAACGUACCUCAAAGUCAGGGAUAACCCAGAGAAAUCUGGAAUAAUACCUGAUAGUCUCUUCGGAGUAAAGAUUUAUCGCUUUGAGAUCGGCCUAUGUCCUAUCAGCUAGUUGGUGAGGUAAUGGCUCACCAAGGCUAUGACGGGUAGGGGACGUGAGAGCGUGACCCCCAACAUUGGCACUGAGACACUGGCCAAACACCUACGGGUGGCUGCAGUCGAGAAUAUUCGACAAUGCACGAAAGUGUGAUCGAGCGACGCCGCGUGCGGGAUGACAGCCUUCGGGUUGUAAACCGCUUUUAUAAGGGAAGAAUUUAGAUGACUGUACCUUAUGAAUAAGGAGUUGCUAACUACGUGCCAGCAGCAGCGGUAAUACGUAGACUCCAAGCGUUAUCCGGAUUUAUUGGGCGUAAA